rnacentral:rRNA from 1 species
UAGGGAAUCUUCGGCAAUGGACGAAAGUCUGACCGAGCAACGCCGCGUGAGUGAAGAAGGUUUUCGGAUCGUAAAACUCUGUUGGUAGAGAAGAACGUUGGUGAGAGUGGAAAGCUCAUCAAGUGACGGUAACUUACCAGAAAGGGACGGCUAACUACGUGCUAG